GACGAACGCUGGCGGCGUGCUUAACACAUGCAAGUCGAACGGAAAGGCCCUGCUUUUGUGGGGUGCUCGAGUGGCGAACGGGUGAGUAACACGUGAGUAACCUGCCCUUGACUUUGGGAUAACUUCAGGAAACUGGGGCUAAUACCGGAUAGGAGCUCCUGCUGCAUGGUGGGGGUUGGAAAGUUUCGGCGGCUGGGGAUGGACUCGCGGCUUAUCAGCUUGUUGGUGGGGUAGUGGCUUACCAAGGCUUUGACGGGUAGCCGGCCUGAGAGGUUGACCGGCCACAUUGGGACUGAGAUACGGCCCAGACUCCUACGGGAGGCAGCAGUGGGGAAUAUUGCACAAUGGGCGGAAGCCUGAUGCAGCAACGCCGCGUGCGGGAUGACGGCCUUCGGGUUGUAAACCGCUUUCGCCUGUGACGAAGCGUGAGUGACGGUAAUGGGUAAAGAAGCACCGGCUAACUACGUG
rnacentral:rRNA from 1 species